AGAGUUUGAUCCUGGCUCAGAACUAACGCUGGCGGCGUGCCUAACACAUGCAAGUCGUACGAGAAAGUUGGCUUCGGCCGAUGAGUAAAGUGGCGCACGGGUGAGUAACGCGUGGAUAAUCUACCUUUUAGUUUGGAAUAACGUACCGAAAGGUGCGCUAAUACCGGAUAAUGCUGCACAACUACUGUUGUGUCGUCAAAGAAGGCUUCUGUUUACAUGCUUUUGCUGAAAGAUGAGUCCGCGUACCAUUAGCUAGUUGGUAGGGUAAUGGCCUACCAAGGCUACGAUGGUUAGCUGGUCUGAGAGGAUGAUCAGCCACACUGGAACUGAGACACGGUCCAGACUCCUACGGGAGGCAGCAGUGAGGAAUAUUGCGCAAUGGGGGCAACCCUGACGCAGCAACGCCGCGUGAGUGAGGAAGGUUUUCGGACCGUAAAGCUCUGUCGAGCGGGAAGAAAUGCAUGGUGGCUAAUAUCCAUCAUGCUUGACGGUACCGCUAAAGGAAGCACCGGCUAACUCCGUGCCAGCAGCCGCGGUAAUACGGGGGGUGCAAGCGUUGUUCGGAAUUAUUGGGCGUAAAGAGCGUGUAGGCGGCUGAAUAAGUCAGAUGUGAAAUCCCUGGGCUUAACCCAGGACGUGCAUUUGAAACUAUUCAGCUUGAGUAGGGGAGAGGAAAGUGGAAUUCCUGGUGUAGAGGUGAAAUUCGUAGAUAUCAGGAGGAACACCGGUAGCGAAGGCGACUUUCUGGCCCUAUACUGACGCUGAGACGCGAAAGCGUGGGUAGCAAACAGGAUUAGAUACCCUGGUAG
rnacentral:rRNA from 1 species